GGAACUCAGACACAGGUGCUGCAUGGCUGUCGUCAGCUCGUGUCGUGAGAUGUUGGGUUAAGUCCCGUAACGAGCGCAACCCUUGUCCUUAGUUACCAGCACGUUAUGGUGGGCACUCUAAGGAGACUGCCGGUGACAAACCGGAGGAAGGUGGGGAUGACGUCAAGUCAUCUGUGGCCUUACGGCCAGGGCUACACACGUGCUACAAUGGUCGGUACAAAGGGUUGCCAAGCCGCGAGGUGGAGCUAAUCCCAUAAAACCGAUCGUAGUCCGGAUCGCAGUCUGCAACUCGACUGCGUGAAGUCGGACUCGCUAGUAAUCGUGAAUCAGAAUGUCACGGUGAAUACGUUCCCGGGCCUUGUACACACCGCCCGUCACACCAUGGGAGUGGGUUGCUCCAGAAGUAGCUAGUCUAACCGCAAGGG
rnacentral:rRNA from 1 species